AGAGUUUGAUCCUGGCUCAGGACGAACGCUGGCGGCGUGCCUAACACAUGCAAGUCGUACGCUUGUAAAAGCGUGGCGAACGGGUGAGUAAUGGCAAGGAACGUGCCUUUUUCCGGGAAAUACCCAGCCGAAAGGUUGGCUAAUGUCCCAUAGUCUCGCAAGAGUAAAGCUCCGGCGGAAAAAGAUCGGCCUUGCUCCUAUCAGCUUGUUGGUGAGGUAAAGGCCCACCAAGGCUUCGACGGGUAGCUGGUCUGAGAGGAUGAUCAGCCACAAUGGGACUGAGACACGGCCCAUACACCUACGGGUGGCAGCAGUUGGGAAUAUUGCGCAAUGGACGACAGUCUGACGCAGCGACGCCGCGUGAAGGAUGAAGGUUUUCGGAUCGUAAACUUCUUUUAUAGGGGAAGAUUGUGACUGUACCCUAUGAAUAAGGGCCUGCUAACUACGUGCCAGCAGCAGCGGUAAUACGUAGGGCCCGAGCGUUGUCCGGAUUUAUUGGGCGUAAAGAGUAUGUAGGUGGUCAUUUAAGUCGGGUUUUAAAGCCCCAGGCUCAACCUGGGUAUUGGACUCGAAACUAUUUGGCUCGAGGUUUGUAGGGGUAAGCGGAAUUAGCGGUGUAGCAGUGAAAUGCGUUGAUAUCGCUAGGAACACCAAUGGCGAAGGCAGCUUACUAUACAUUCUCUGACACUGAGAUACGAAAGCGUGGGGAGCGAACGGGGAUUA
rnacentral:rRNA from 1 species